rnacentral:rRNA from 1 species
UACGUAGGUGGCGAGCGUUGUCCGGAUUUACUGGGCGUAAAGGGAGCGUAGGCGGACUUUUAAGUGAGAUGUGAAAUACUCGGGCUCAACUUGAGUGCUGCAUUUCAAACUGGAAGUCUAGAGUGCAGGAGAGGAGAAUGGAAUUCCUAGUGUAGCGGUGAAAUGCGUAGAGAUUAGGAAGAACACCAGCGGCGAAGGCGAUUCUCUGGACUGUAACUGACGCUGAGGCUCGAAAGCGUGGGGAGCAAACAGG